CCGUAGCCCAAGAGAUCGGGAUAACACCUGGAAACAGAUGCUAAUACCGGAUAACAACAGAUGAUGCCUAUCAACUGUUUAAAAGAUGGUUCUGCUAUCACUCUUGGAUGGACCUGCGGUGCAUUAGCUAGUUGGUAGGGUAACGGCCUACCAAGGCGAUGAUGCAUAGCCGAGUUGAGAGACUGAUCGGCCACAAUGGAACUGGGACACGGUCCAUACUCCUACGGGAGGCAGCAGGC
rnacentral:rRNA from 1 species